CCUACGGGGGGCAGCAGUGGGGAAUAUUGGACAAUGGGCGAAAGCCUGAUCCAGCCAUGCCGCGUGUGUGAAGAAGGCCUUCGGGUUGUAAAGCACUUUCAGUGGGGAAGAAAGCCUUGGGGCUAAUACCCUCGAGGAAGGACAUCACCCACAGAAGAAGCACCGGCUAACUCCGUGCCAGCAGCCGCGGUAAUACGGAGGGUGCGAGCGUUAAUCGAAAUUACUGGGCGUAAAGCGCGCGUAGGCGGUCUGAUAAGCCGGUUGUGAAGGCCCCGGGCUCAACCUGGGAACGGCAUCCGGAACUGUCAGGCUAGAGUGCAGGAGAGGAAGGUAGAAUUCCCGGUGUAGCGGUGAAAUGCGUAGAGAUCGGGAGGAAUACCAGUGGCGAAGGCGGCCUUCUGGACUGACACUGACGCUGAGGUGCGAAAGCGUGGGUAGCAAACAGGAUUAGAUACCCGAGUAGUC
rnacentral:rRNA from 1 species